CGAUAGCUGCCACUAGAGGGAGCAGUUACAAAGGUCUCUCUGUGUUGGUACAGGUUGACGCUGAAAAAAGACUUCUGUGCUCGUGCACGAAAACGGAAAGCCAACAAUAUCAACAAGAAUGUAGUUGUACAAUUGUACAAUGUUAAUUCAAUUUUUCAUAGAGUCGUCAACAGUACAUUCCAGUAUAUAGGCAUACUGUGAAGAGAUGUAUUUUAGGCCCUAAUUGCCCCCCUAGCAUCUAGGCCUACGCAUUCUUCUCCUUUUUCUUGUAGCCAGACUGUCUUCCGGUUGACAUCUAGUUGUAGAUGUUUAAUCUGGGUUUUUUUGUGCUUGUUGCCCCUUCAGUGAAGGUGGUAGAACUGUCACAGGAUUGAUAGAGCCUACCGUAUUUACCAUUAAAAGGAGCUCCUGCUGGAUACCACCUCCCCAACACUCCACUCCAAAUGAAACCAGUCUGACUGCUUGAGGAAAGAAGCUCUUCCCCAUUCUGGAGGUGCGGGCAGUUAUACUGCGGUACCUUCUACCUGAUGGCAUUAAGGAGAAGAGUGCAUGGGACAGGGUAUUCUGGCGAGUCGGUGGCGUGCAGCGUGUCGUUGAGAGGAAAUGGGAGCCGGAAGGGAAGAGCACCGACAGGAAGGAAGAAAGAGAAAGGGAGUGACUCGGCAGUGUGUGUCUUCGGAGCGCUUAUUCGUCCCGCUGUGAGUUGUUACCAGGCCCAACACUUGUCCGGGGCUCUUGUCAGCACUGGAAUGACUUCAGAAGCUAUUGGAGAGCUCAGUCUACAAGGCAGAUAUUUUCUCUGGGGAUGCUUUCUUGAAUAAACG